rnacentral:rRNA from 1 species
GACGAACGCUGGCGGCGUGCCUAAUACAUGCAAGUCGAACGCAGUGGGGACGGGUGAGUAACACGUGGGUAACCUCCCAUCAGAGGGGAUAACACUUGGAAACAGGUGCUAAACCGAUACUGAUGGAUGGACCCGCGGGGCAGUAGCUAGUUGGUGAGGUAACGGCUCACCAAGGCCCCGAUGCAUAGCCGGCCUGCGCGGGUGAUCUGGCACACUGGCACUGGGACACGGCCCCGCCGCCUACGGGAGGCAGCAGGAGGGAAUCGUCGGCAAUGGACGAAAGUGUGACCGAGCAACGCCGCGUGAGUGAAGAAGGUUUUCGGAUCGUAAAACUCUGUUGUUAGAGAAGCGGUAUCUAACCAGAAAGCCACGGCUAACUACGUGCCAGCCGCCGCGGUAAUAC